rnacentral:lncRNA from 1 species
AUUUUUCUUCUUUUUUAUAUAGAACAAAUAUUUAUACUACUAUAUUUCCAUCAGCUGUUACCAUUUAUGCCACUCUUAUUUGAUAUCUGAAAUGAUUGAGAAAAUAACUGAAAAGCAGAGAUUCAACACUAGAAACUUUAAUACAUUAUUUUUGCAAUAAACAGUAGAUAUAAACUUUCACCUGAAAAAUUUAACUCUGCUUUUUAAUAUAUUCUUAAAAUUACAUCACCUUAUGUGAUGCCUACAUAUCUGCAGACUACAUCCACACCUUUACUUUUUACUUUUUAAAAUUUCGUCAGACAACCUUGUGUGAAGUGUACAAAUUCUCAGACUAAACCUCUACAUUCUAUAACACACAUGUUAACCCUCUCGUUACUGUAUUUAUUUUGAGAUGAUCUGUGUUUCUUUCAAUUACUUUAAAUAUAACAAAGAAUUUAGUAAAAUAUCUUAGUUAUCCUUAAGCUAGUGUUAGGAACAUAAAUUGUGACUAAGGUUUGGUGGAAGAUUUUAAUUCAGAACUUAGGAAAACAAGACAUUUGUACCACAUUUGUACUGGGUUGGUAUCAGAAGGGUUAAGAAUGGUUUCUCUAUUAUAUAUUUUAACCCAUUCAUUACCAUAUUUCUUUUGAGAUGCUCUCUGUUUCUUUCAAUUAAUUUUAAAUAUAACAAAGAAUUUAGUAAAAUAACUUAGCUAUCAUUCAGCUAGUGUUAGGAACAUAAAUUGCGAUUAAGGUUUGGUGGGAGAUUUUGAUUCAAAACUUAAGAAAACAAGACAUUUGUAUUCAGAACCAGAGCCAGUUUCAGCCAGGUUGGUAACGAAAGGGUUAAACAACAGAAAAACAGUUGAUGAAAUUCUUUUCUCUGCUGAAACAUCAUUCAUCAUUGCUCAGUUAUUGUUUAGUCCCAAGUCAGUUCUGGUUGAACAGACGACAAGUGAUUAAAAGCAUUUCAACCAGGGUUACAUCGGGGGUAUCAAACUUAAUUUGGCUUUGCAGGCCAGACUGCAGCACAAAUUAGAUUUUGAAGGUCAGACAGGGAGAAUUAUUCAUAAAAAACUUUAUUCACAAUGUAUGCAAAACUAAAUGGAUAAAGGGAGUCAAUACACAUUAUAAUAACACUAUUAACAAUGUUUCUGUGCCCAGGUCAGACCCGGAAAAUUCACGAUGUGAAUUUUCCGAGCCCUCUCCCCCACCUACCCCUUUCGUGAGCGCGCAUUUUUUUUUUGUCAUAUUCGUUUAGAGCAAGUUGUUUUACACCUAUUACACUAUUUUUUUGUUUUGUUUUUAUGACCAGGCAAAACGCUUUAGUUUGACCCCAAGUUUUGUAAACAAUGAUACUAUAACAGUUUAUUACUGAGUUUCUGCUAACAUAAUUAUGAAACAUCUGUAAACCAAUGAAAUAAAUGUCUAUUCACAAACAACUGCGAAGAAUAAAGAUUCUCCUUUUCUCUCGCCAUUAAAUAAUUUUCUGUAGAGCUUUGGAAUAGAUACCCUAUACGGUACUACAUGAGGACAGUGGUCCCGGGGCGCGCACUCGCGUAUCCUCGCUAGCUAGUCGAUCCUACGACUACCUAGCAAAGUAAAUAAAACACAAAAUAAAUAAUUUUUUAAACAAAGUAAAUAACACACAAAAACACAAAGUAAGGAUCGACUAGUCAUGACUAGCUAGCGCGGAUGCCCGAGUACACGAGUGCGCGCACCGGGACCACUGUUCUCAGGUAGUACCUCAUGAGAAAGGAGAAGGAUAUUCAUUAUUUUAGAAUUACUGUAUUUCUCACAACGGAAAUCGGCAUUCUUUCGAUAUAACUCGAGAAUUGAAGACAAUAGAAACUCUAGAAAAAAAGAUAUUUCCUCGUCAUGUCUCAGGCGUAGAGAAUAAGAUUUCCACAGAAGAAAGUUCCAUGAAUGAUAUAACUUGUAUUAAAUAUGUGGUCAUCAUCGAACCUUCCGACCGUAACGGCGAUUGAAUAGAAGGAAACGAGGUUACGGAAGUUGGAGGCAAAAGAUAUUUUUAAGAAAUUAAAAUUGUUUCCAGAAUUAAUUUCCUCGAAAGAGAAAGUUAAAGAAAAUCUUCGUCAACUUACCAUUCACAGAUGUAAACAGUGAAUGCAGUGGAUUGUACCUUUUUACCAAACAACGAAAGGAAUUCUAUAGCGUUGUCAGAUAUUGGAGUUUCCAACUUUGUUCCUCUUCGGAAAGAAUUCGCCGAAGAAUUUUCCUUCGGAAUCGGAAAAAUUCGAAUCUUGUCCAAACUAUGCAAC